UCAAGCUACUAAGGGCAUACGGCGGAUGCCUAGGCGCCAUCAGCCGAUGAAGGACGCGGUAAGCUGCGAAAAGCUACGGGGAACUGCAAGCAAGUAUUGAUCCGUAGAUGUCCGAAUGGGGAAACCCACCUGCCGUCAUGGGCAGGUAUCCGAAAGGAAGGGAACCCGGGGAACUGAAACAUCUAAGUACCCGGAGGAAGAGAAAUCAAACGAGAUGCCCACAGUAGCGGCGAGCGAAGAGGGCAGAGGGCAAACCGGGGAGCUACGGCUCUCCGGGGUUGAGGACUGCAUUUAGUCUUAAUGGUCUAUCCGAACUACCUGGAAAGGUAGGCAACACAGUGUAAAAGCCACGUAGGUUAAAGACCAGAGAGAUGAGCAGUAUCCAGAGUACCACGAGGCACGAGGAAUCUUGUGGGAAGCCGGGGGGACCACCCUCCAACCCUAAACACUGAAUGGCGACCGAUAGCGCAUAGUACCGUGAGGGAAAGGUGAAAAGAACCCCGGGAGGGGAGUGAAAGAGAACCUGAAACCGUAUGUCUACAAGCAGUCGGAGCGAAAGCGACGGCGUGCCUAUUGAAGAAUGAACCAACGAGUUACGUGCACUAGCGAGGUUAAGUGGAAGACACGGAGCCGAAGCGAAAGCGAGUCUUAAGAGGGCGGAUAGUUAGUGUACGUAGACCCGAAACCGCAGUGAUCUACCCAUGUCCAGGUUGAAGCGCAGGUAAAAUUGCGUGGAGGACCGAACCUGUGAGCGUUGAAAAGCUUUAGGAUGAGAUGUGGGUAGAGGUGAAAUUCCAAUCGAACGCGGAGAUAGCUGGUUCUCCCCGAAAUAGCUUUAGGGCUAGCCUCAAGUAGUAAGUAUAGGCGGUAGAGCACUGAUCGGGCUAGGGGCCAUAAAGGUUACCGAACCCUGUCAAACUCCGAAUGGUUAUACUGUAGAGCUUGGGAGUCAGACUACGAGUGAUAAGAUCCGUGGUCAAAAGGGAAACAGCCCAGACCACCAGCUAAGGUCCCCAAUGUCGUACUAAGUGGAAAAGGAUGUGGGGUCUCUAAAACAACCAGGAUGUUGGCUUAGAAGCAGCCACCAUUUAAAGAGUGCGUAAUAGCUCACUGGUCGAGAGACCCUGCGCCGAAGAUUACCGGGGCUAAAGUACGAAACCGAAGCUGUGGCUACGACGUAAGUCGUGGGGUAGGGGAGCGUUCUGUGAGGGCUGAAGUCGUUCUGUAAGGAACGGUGGACUUCACAGAAGUGAGAAUGUUGGUAUGAGUAGCGAAAAGAAUGGUGAGAAUCCAUUCCACCGAAAGCAUAAGGAUUCCUGGGCAACGAUCGUCGUCCCAGGGUAAGUCGGGACCUAAUCCGAGGCAUGGAGCGUAGGAGAUGGACAACUGGCAGAUAUUCCAGUACCGGUAAUGAUUGUUUGAGCGAUGGAGUGACACAGGAGGGCAGGCAGGCAGGAGAUUGGUUGUUCCUGUACAAGCGUGUAGGAUGGGACGUAGGCAAAUCCGCGUCCUGUGAGUCUGAGGCGUGAUGUGGAGGUUCCGGAAACGGAACUGAAGCUGCUGACCCCACACUGUCGAGAAAAGCUUCUAGUUAGAGAAUUACCGCCCGUACCGUAAACCGACACAGGUAUGCGGGGAGAGAAUCCUAAGGUGCGCGGGAGAACCCUCGUUAAGGAACUCGGCAAAAUGUACCCGUAACUUCGGGAUAAGGGUAGCCGCUGUUGUGAAGUCUGAACAGACGGAGCAUGAGGCGGUCGCAGAGAAGAGGCCCAAGCGACUGUUUACCACAAACACAGGUGCCUGCUAAAGAGAAAUCUGACGUAUAGGUGCUGACACCUGCCCAGUGCCGGAAGGUUAAGGAAGGAUGUCCGGAGCAAUCCAAAGCAUUCGACCGAAGCCCCGGUGAACGGCGGCCGUAACUAUAACGGUCCUAAGGUAGCGAAAUUCCUUGUCGGGU
rnacentral:rRNA from 1 species